GGAAAUAGAUGGGUGAUGAAUUUAUGAUUGUGGUCAUGAUGCUAGGCAUGGUGUAUGAAUGAAUUGUGUGUGAGGAAGCAUGUGUGUGAGAUUUUGAGCUCUAGAGUUUUAUUGUUGCAUGUAUUGUUCGCAAGAAAACAUGGAUGAUAUUGCCUUAAUCUUGAUGAUCGAUUGAAUUGCAUGUGAAUGUCAUAUGAUCAAGGCCAUUUUUGAAAACCCUUCUCUAGCCAAAUUUUCACCCAAAAUGCUUAAAAAUAUUUUACCCUUUUUGAACCUUAGCCUUAAACAGUAUGUGAACCCUUGUUUUGAAAUUCUUUACCUUGAGUUGGGAUGAGCUUAAUUGGAUGUGAUAAAAAGGUUCAAGUUUGGGGUUCUUGGGGGAAAGUUGAAAAAGCAAGUGAAAAGCAUUGAGCUCAAAUGUUGUGAAAAGAAAAAUUCAUGAGAAAAAGAAAAGAAAAGGAGAAAAGCAUGAAGAAGAGCUCAAUGCAAAAGAAAAAGAAAAGGGAAAAGUUGGGAAUGAGAGAGAUUGGUGAGGAAGNNN
rnacentral:lncRNA from 1 species